GAUGAACGCUGGCGGCGUGCCUAAUACAUGCAAGUCGAGCGAACAGACGAUGAGCUUGCUCCUCUGACGUUAGCGGCGGACGGGUGAGUAACACGUGGAUAACCUACCUAUAAGACUGGGAUAACUUCGGGAAACCGGAGCUAAUACCGGAUAAUAUAUUGAACCGCAUGGUUCAAUAGUGAAUGACGGUUUUGCUGUCACUUAUAGAUGUAUCCGCGCCGCAUUAGCUAGUUGGUAAGGUAACGGCUUACCAAGGCAACGAUGCGUAGCCGACCUGAGAGGGUGAUCGGCCACACUGGAACUGAGACACGGUCCAGACUCCUACGGGAGGCAGCAGUAGGGAAUCUUCCGCAAUGGGCGAAAGCCUGACGGAGCAACGCCGCGUGAGUGAUGAAGGUCUUCGGAUCGUAAAACUCUGUUAUUAGGGAAGAACAAAUGUGUAAGUAACUAUGCACGUCUUGACGGUACCUAAUCAGAAAGCCACGGCUAACUACGUG
rnacentral:rRNA from 1 species